rnacentral:rRNA from 1 species
CUUAGAAGCAGCCAUCCUUGAAAGAGUGCGUAAUAGCUCACUGGUCAAGUGGUUCCGCGCCGACAAUGUAGCGGGGCUUAAGCACACCGCCGACGCCGCGGCAGUCCAUCGUGGUCCUAGCCUGUCCGUUGGGCGGGUUCAGGGGGUGGGCUGGGUAGGGGAGCGUCCCGCGUUGGGUGAAGUCUCGGGGUGACCCGGGGUGGACGGCGUGGGAGUGAGAAUGCAGGCAUGAGUAGCGAGAGGCGGGUGAGAAACCCGUCCGCCGAUUGACUAAGGGUUCCAGGGCCAGGUUGAUCCGCCCUGGGUUAGUCGGGUCCUAAGGCGAGGCCGACGGGCGUAGUCGAUGGACAACGGGUUGAUAUUCCCGUACCGGCGCUUGACCGUUCAAUGUUCGCCGGGGUGAUGCUAACCAUCCCCGAUCCUGUGUGUCUCUUUCGGGAGGCGUGUGGGGGAGGGCGUGGGGUCCGAGCCUGGGUGGGCAAGCGUGGUAACAGGUGUGACGCAGAGUGGUAGUCCAACCGUGUCGUAUGGCUGAGCACGGCUAAGGGUGCAGCCCGUCUCCCAGGUAAAUCCGGGGGGCGUUCGGGUCAGGCCUGAUGGGGACCGUUUGACGGGAAGUGGAUGAUCCUGUGCUGCCGAGAAAAGCAUCGACGUCAGGGCAAGCGCCGCCCGUACCCGAAACCGACACAGGUGGUCAGGUAGAGUAUACCGAGGCGUGCGAGUCAAUCGUGGUUAAGGAACUCGGCAAAAUGCCCCCGUAACUUCGGGAGAAGGGGGGCCCCGGUCUUGACGUCCCCGUGCGGGGCGGAGGGGUCGGGGCCGCAGAGUCCAGGGAGAAGCGACUGUUUAUCAAAAACACAGGUCCGUGCUAAGCCGCAAGGCGAUGUAUACGGACUGACGCCUGCCCGGUGCUGGAAGGUUAAGCGGACUGGUCAGCCCUUCGGGGUGAAGCUGGGAAGUUAAGCCCCAGUAAACGGCGGUGGUAACUAUAACCAUCCUAAGGUAGCGAAAUUCCUUGUCGGGUAAGUUCCGACCUGCACGAAUGGCGUAACGACUUCUCCGCUGUCUCGACCACGAGCUCGGUGAAAUUGCAGUACGAGUAAAGAUGCUCGUUUCGCGCAGCAGGACGGAAAGACCCCGGGACCUUUACUGCAGCUUGGUAUGGGUGUUCGGCGCGGUUUGUGUAGGAUAGGUGGGAGACGGUGAUCCGCUCGCGCUAGCGGGCGGGGAGUCGCUGGUGAAAUACCACUCUGGCCGUGUUGGGCUCCUAACCUCGGCCCGUGAUCCGGGUCAGGGACAGUGCCUGGUGGGUAGUUUAACUGGGGCGGUUGCCUCCUAAAGGGUAACGGAGGCGCUCAAAGGUCCCCUCAGCCUGGUUGGUCAUCAGGUGGCGAGUGCAAGUGCACAAGGGGGCUUGACUGUGAGACUGACAGGUCGAGCAGGCACGAAAGUGGGAACUAGUGAUCCGGCGGUCGCGUGUGGAAGCGCCGUCGCUCAACGGAUAAAAGGUACCCCGGGGAUAACAGGCUGAU